rnacentral:rRNA from 1 species
GACGAACGCUGGCGGCGUGCUUAACACAUGCAAGUCGAACGGAAAGGCCCUUCGGGGUACUCGAGUGGCGAACGGGUGAGUAACACGUGGGUGAUCUGCCCUGCACUUUGGGAUAAGCCUGGGAAACUGGGUCUAAUACCGAAUAGGACCACGGCCUUCAUGGGUUGUGGUGGAAAGCUUUUGCGGUGUGGGAUGGGCCCGCGGCCUAUCAGCUUGUUGGUGGGGUAAUGGCCUACCAAGGCGACGACGGGUAGCCGGCCUGAGAGGGUGACCGGCCACACUGGGACUGAGAUACGGCCCAGACUCCUACGGGAGGCAGCGGUGGGGAAUAUUGCACAAUGGGCGCAAGCCUGAUGCAGCGACGCCGCGUGAGGGAUGACGGCCUUCGGGUUGUAAACCUCUUUCAGCAGGGACGAAGCGCAAGUGACGGUACCUGUAGAAGAAGGACUGGCCAACUACGUGCCAGCCGCCGCAGUAAGAC